GCCUGCCAGCAGGUGCUAUACAUCAUUCUGUCCUCACACAGCCCUGUGGGUUGUGUAAAAGCCUCAACUUUCUAAUGAAGGAUGAUGAAACUCAGAGACCACACUGGGAAUGAGCGACGGACUGAGAGAGGCAGAGAAAGAAAAGAGGUCAGUUUUCAAGUCAUUUGGGGAACCCUUACCCCAUCCAAGUGGCAGAAUGGGCUCCAGGUGUAGGCAGCCCCACUAGAAACUCGCACACCUGCAUGCCACCUGACC
rnacentral:lncRNA from 1 species